CUGAUUUAAACAUAACUUUUAAUUAAACACAUAAGACAAAUUGGAAUAAGACUUUUUUACCAAAAAGCAUUUCAUAGGUGGUACUGAUUAUUCAUUGUGAUUAACAAUAUAAGGAAUUAUUAUUGCAUUUUAUACUUUUCAACAGGUAGUUUGAUGAUUGUGUUUCAAAAAUACUGGUGCCCCAAAUACUGAGAUAUAACAAAAUACAUUCGGAAUAAAUUAUAAGAGAAAACUAAGUCUUAAGUUGUUAUUUCUUGCAUGGGAGAUGGGAAAAUAGAAGUGCCUUAUCAGAUUCUAUUUGGGAUGUAUUUUAAGAAAUCCCAUGACUGUGACUCAUGGAAACUGAAAGCAUGGUCAAACAUUUCAAACUUGAAAGCAUGGUCAAACAUUCACGUUAACUCCUGGACCUAUAAAAAGGAUCAGUUAACAACAGUACGUCAAUGGUAAUGUCCUGGUUUAGAUAAUUGUAUCAUGCAUAUGAAACUUGCUAACAUAAGAGGAAUCUAAAGAAUAUUUUUACAAACUACGUACUACUUUUGCAAUAGUUUUGUGUGUCAAAAAUUAUUUCAAAAUAAAAAUUAAAGCAAUAAUGGCAAUACUUCUUUCCAGUCUAUAUCAAAAAUACACAAAACACUUUCAGUAGAGCCAGUUAACCAAACACAAAACCCUGACCAAAACAAAAUAAAGUUGUUUAAGAUUUUUUUCAGAAAUCGCAAACAAAAUUAUAAUGAUUAUAAUAGGGAAGUGUGUAUUUACAUACAUAUAUAUUUAUAUAUAUAAUUACACAUAUACACAAUUAAGUUCAUUCAUUCACUGGAUGCAAGAAUGUUCACUUUUAGAAAAAGUUAAUUUUUACCCUAGUCAAUAAUUAUAAUGGCAAGUAUGAUCAACUGUAAAACACAAGACAUUUUAUUAAACUUGUCAUCAAAUUUAGUGGAAAAUCCUCAAUGAAAGGAAGGAAGCUGUUUCCUAAAAUGACUCAUAAGUAAACCUUUAACAGGAUUAGUAUUAAUAAUGAAAUAACCAAGGGCACUUUCUGCUUUCAUACAUUCUGAAACCACCUAUGAAUUGUGAAAAAAGAAAACCAUAAUGUUGGUAUUUCAAUUAAACGUCACUAGAAAAGUACAUGAAAUGGCUUUCACAUAUUAAUAAGAAAAACUGAGUGUAUGAUCCCCAUCGCUACACUGACAAAAGUAUGAGAUGAGUUGGGAUUAAUCAAAAAAUAAGAAAAUAAAACUACACUAGCAAUAUUCCCACAUAAUUUAAUUAAAAAUAGAAACACAUACCUUGCAGUUGGAUAGGAAGGCUGAGUUAAAGAGAUCUAAUUCUCUCCUAAUUACUCUAUUAAAUUUGGUGCAAAUGAAAUUAAAAUUGCAUUUUUUUCCAACUUGGAAAAUAAUUUUAAGCGUCAACUGAGGGAAAAAAUUUGAAUGUAGACAGGGAAUAUUCUGAAAAAUUAUGAGAAAUGAGAGAAUUCAAUGGAAUAGCUAAGACUAGAAACCAUCGGUAAUUUUAAAGUAUCAAUAUAAGAUAAAGCAAAUAAAUAGAAAUGUAGCCAAUUAUGUGGGAAUUUCCAUAUCAUUACAGAAUUUAAAUUAAGCAGUAAUUGCUUAAGUCAAGGGAAACAAUUUGAGUAUGUAAUACUUUAAAUACCAUGGUAAUGAUUAAUGGAAAAAUAAAAGGACAAAAUGAAAAGUAUUAGAAAAUACAGAGAAAGAAAUGUAUGAUACUAAUGCAAACAUGUUUUUAAAAGAAAAACACAAAACUCAAAAGGCAUAAAACAGAACAUUAUUGUAUUUCAAUACAUAACUUUUGUACAACCAAAAAAUAAAACACCACAGUAAAAUGAUGCCGAAAAGAAAACAUGGUAUUUCACUUGCAAUGCAUGACAUAUGGUUAACAUCUUUAGUUAUAAAUGAGUUUUUAGAAAUGAGCAACACAGACACUCAUACUCCAAGGGAAAUGGAAAAAAACAAAAAGCAGAGGAAAAUGAAAUAACACAAAUGACAAGUAAGGAUUAAGGAUAUACGAAGAUGAUGGAGACAAACAAGAGAAGAAAAAAAGCAAUUUCUUCGUAAUAUCGCAUUGUUAACGAUUAAAACACUGACAUCUAACAUGUGUACCAUUUUAGGAAACAGAACUCUCAUGAACAAACACUGGGAGACAAUAUUGAUGAAGACUCUCUAUGAUUAGGGGGAAAGCUGUAGUUUUGACUCAAAACAUAAAUUUUUGGACAUCCCUAGUCCUAGCAGUUCCAAUUCUCUGAAAUUAUCAAAAUAAUUUAUCUGUAUGCCUUUUUACGGCAUAGAAAAUUUAUAGACAUAAUAUGGGCCAAAAAGAGAGUUGCAUAUCAAUCUGUUUAUCAACACACCCCAAAAAGAUGUGCACAAAACUACACUGACAGUAGAUAACGCUGGAGAAUAGAAUUAUGAGGGGAAAAGGGCAUGAGUUAAAAAUACCAUACUUCACAAAUUUCUAUACCUUUAAAAUCUUGAACAAGAUGAUUUUUUAUGAAAUAAUUUUAAGUUGAUCCUGUGAUAAGUGAAAAUUAUAAAUACAUGCACUUAAUACUUAUGGGAGCACUGAAAUGAAGCCUUGCAAUUACACCAUCCUGAGAUUCUGUGUAAUAACGUCUCUGGCAUUCAAGCUCCUGAGAUUUAGUCCAAUGGCAACAAUGAAAACUGUCAACAGGCCUGGUUACAAUUCUCUCCAAUUACACUCUUUAGAUUACUUUAAAACAUGAGCUUUCUCAGUCCGGUUUUUCUGAUCUGCAAGGAGUGUCCACUGCAACACACGAAAGAGUCUCCAUACAUUAUGAAGACCAUCUUUUGGUUUGAUGAAGAUGGUGUCAGAAGAAAUGGCAUCAGUUUCCUAUUCAGUCAUCACCUGAGAGGACACAGUGGGAUCAUCAGUAGGAACUAAUAAAAUUUCUAUGUACAAGAAAUGCAACAGGCAUUCUAUGAAGAAAUAACAGGUGGAUCAAAAUUGUUGUUUGAAUUUUAUAAUAGUAAGAAGGCCAGAUACUGUUACUCUUUCUUCUUACACCUUGCUAAAUGGACAUACCUCCUCAUGUUGUCUGUGCCUCUUUUCAAUUACGCAUUUGGUUGCUUAUAUCACUAGAUCACUCUCGUUCAAAUAGAAAAUUAUUUCACGCAAUCUACAUGCAUUUCUUCCUAUACAAGCAACAAGAGUGCCUAACCACCAUAGUGAAAAUAACAAAAGGAGAAAAAAUUAACUGCAUUAAAGCUAUGGAAGCUACAACGUAACUUAGAAAAAGAUUUAGCUCCUAACCCAGUAUUCUAGCUGGCUAUCAAAACUGCUGGGUAGGUACUUCCUCAAAAGUCAUUAAUCUUCAAUUUAGCUAUGAUUUAUCCUAAGAAAAAACAUUUUCUGAUUAAAACCUUCACUUUCAAGGUUAUUCCACGGAUAACAGAUAGGCAAUAACACUCUCUGAGAAAGAAUGUUUAAGAAAUUUGUCAUCAUUCACUAUUGGCAGUACAUCCCAUGAAUUACCUUCCUAAAGGACACGAUGGGGAAUGAAGGAAAAAUGAGAAGCACAAAAAUCAUGGUGUGUCAGGAGCUAGCAUUCACUAUUUUUCUAUAAGAUCAUGGUUUCAUUAACAACUGCCCCUCUCACUCUUUUGACAGUUUCACAGCUUUAGUAGUUAUAUUACACAUUUCAGCAUCAGCGAGCGUAUUGCACCUGGUUCUUCUCUCUUUUGCAUUCCCCAAACUGACUUUAUCUCAAAAAUCUUGUAAUUUUUUUUCCUUUCUCCACCCCUUAUCUUUUGCCUAAUUUACUCCCAAAGUCAUAAAACAAGUCAGCAAGACUUUAUUCAAUUCCCACAGUGAAUAAGGUUUUUGUUCAAAACUAUCCACGAGAAAUUCGGUCUGUGUGAGAAGUGAUAUUCUGAAAAUCAAUUUAAUAAUUGAUUUAAUAAGGAUACAUGAUUUGAUGAGAACAUUGUGAAAGGACCCAAAAAUGUAAAAGAAAAUACUGAAGCUCCACAGCUCUUAACUACUAUGCCUUCUUUCAUCCAGUCCUACAUGUAGUCUGGGUCUCCAGUUACCUUGGCACUCUCUCACUAUAAGAUGGAAUCUCUGCUGGAAUUUGGGCUGGUCAUAUGACACUGCUGGCCAACAGAAUAUGGCGGAAGUGAUGCUACAUGACUUCUGAAGCUAUCAGAAAGGCCACACCACUUUCACAAGGCUCUCUUCUAACACUCAUUCUUACGAUGCUUCCUCUGUGAACCUGGCUGUGUGAAAGUACUCUAGUUGAAAGCCUCCAGUAAGCCCAGCCUUCCACAUCACCACAAACCAAGUGCCAGAUAUGCGAAUGAAGUAGUAGAUGUCUGAAUCUCUCUCAACCACUGGGUCCUUCCCAGUUGAUCCUAUAUACAUUCUGGCACUGUCAGAAAUCUUCACCCACAGAAUCUACGGAAUUAACACAAUAUUUUAUGCCACUAAAUUUCAGGAUAAUUUUUUACUCAGCAAUACAUAACCUGAAAAGAUCUCAAUACCCACUAGCUGCCACAAAAAGUUCAUUAACUUAAAGAGAAUAUCAACUCUUGUCUAACCAAAGUCCCCCCUACCCCCUCCCCAUCAAAUGAGCACUCAACUGUCCUUACAAUCAUAUCGCCAAGGGGUACUCCUAGGACCAGAGAUGGCAGUGACGAACACCUGAAUGAGGAAUAUUGCAAUAGAGAUCCAGUGGCACCGAUUCUUGGGAUUAAAAAUGAACUUGGUAAAGUAUCUUUUCUCGGAAUUAUCAUCUCCUGAUGGGGAAAAAAAGAACAUCGUAAUGUAAGGUCCACACCAGUCUGAUGGAAUAGCUAAAGAACGAGUUAAGUGGAGGUUCAUGCUGAACUUUGUUACAGAUUUAACACAAAAUAUUCCUCAUCAAUAAACCCUCUAGCUGAUUCAAUUCUCCAAUGUCAUCCAUGACUUUACUACUAGUACUUUUCAAUAUCAGCACCUUUUUUAGGUUUCUAUAAACUUCUCCCUUUAUCACACUACAAAACUAUAAUUGCAAAAUGAGUUUGUCUAUUUCAUAAUUUCCAAUUCUUAGACAACUGAUCGUUUCCUUUAUACCAUUAGUUACGUUGCCAUAUUUGGUCAUAAAUAAGUAAAUUAAUUGAAACAAAACUCAAUCUCUUACACUCUGCAUAUACUCUACAGCUUUAAUGAGUUAAACAUAUCUUUUUAAAUAAUGAAUUUACUCACUAAUUUUCUGGCAUGGGUGAAAAUCCCAAAUUGCCAAAAAGAAGAAAGUCUGUACCAGCAUUAUUUUCCUGAGCCUAGCCAAAACCUCAUCCUUCACAGGACUUCUUGAUCCAGAACCUUCUUACCUUUGAUUCACGGUUAAGACUUAUGAAUUAAGGAACUCCAUAAAAGAGGAAUGUUCCUGAUGAUGUCACAGCUGUACUCAGAUUAUCUGCAAAUGUUUUUCUUCCACCAUAUCCAACUGCAAAGUAAGUCUCAAAUCCCAUCUUCUCCCUUCUUUCCUUGGGUGAUCCAAUACACUCUGUUCACUCUGUAAAACUCUCUGCUGCACAAGUCUCUAAAUCACAUGCUCUUCAUGACCACUCAAAAACCACUCAUAAUGGCCACUGAGAAUACAAAGUUGGAUACAACAGCCCCAAAUCCCAAGAUGUCGAGAGGCAAGGACGAAGACAGGCACAAACUGCUUGUAUCUUUAAAAUUCCCUCUGUUUAAAUGUUCCUUUUGAAAUAGCUUUAAAAUUUCAAAUGCAGAAAGUAGAAGCAGUCCUUCUAUUCCUCUAUCUCUAUACAGUUAUGUUAAAACUUUUUCAUACGUCCUUCCAGAUAUAUUUUUAUUUAAUAAUUCAUAUAUUCAUUUUAGAUUGUCAUGUAGCAACAUACAAAUACAUAAACAAUGUUUUACUAUUUAAAUUAUACAUGUACAAAAAUUUCAAAAAAUGGUAAAAUAAUCACCAUUAAAAUAACACUGACCAGUAAGCAUUACUUAACACGAUAAUCAUGCCAGGAUAAUCCCAUUCCCCAGGAAUAGUAACCAUUAACACUUCAGUUUGAAAAACUAGAGGCAUAUAGACACCAUUGUAAACACAAUUAAUUGAUGUUUGUUCAAAAAUGACAAUUUUAAAUAUGACCUAAAAACAGCCUUCCAUACGAGAAUUUUUUUUUCAGUAUUUGAAUUACAUUCAUGUGACCAAUAAGCUGUAAUCACUACGACCUUUUAUUGACGAGGAUUUCAGAUGUUCAAAUUAUUUGUCAUCUCAAUCUACAAAACAUACUUUCUUCUUUGAGAGUUGCAAUAGAUAAAAUCAAGAGCAAGUUAUACCAUUUUAAAAGUUUUACAUACUCAAUUAUGAUCGUCAGUGCCAAACUGUUUAAAAAGGUACACUGAUUUAUACUUUGAUGAACACUGAAUAGAAUCUAAGAAAUUUUCAUAAUUUAUAUUAGAGGCAACUGAGAUGAAAGACUUUUGACAUUUGUUUCUGACUAUCACAUAUCAAAUAUAACUAUUCACUGGAAAAUUUUAAAGGUCCUCAAAUUUUUAAAAAUAUUCAUUAUCAGAGGAAUUCUGUUCACAUAUAUGUGUAUAUAUGGAAGCAGACUAGGAAACAGAUACAGAGCUACUUAAUCAUUUUAUAUAAAAAUUAACAUACAUGUAGCUAUAACAUGAAGUGGGCCUCUAGAAAUGUUUAAGCUUAGAAUUAAAAUACUAUCUCCAUUGUUUUCAAAAAAAAAUGUGAAGCAAUAAGCUAACAAAUGACAAAAGAGAGUAUUAUCAAAUCUAUAUCCCUAAAAGUAAUUUUACCUGUAUAUGUGUAUAUAUACCUUUAUAUCUAUGCAUAUACAUAUAUAAAUUUGUAAAGAGUAAAUUUAUAUAGUAUAGCAAAGUGACAAUUACUUUAGCAAUGUGAGAAUCUCCUGUGAAUCUGUGAUUUAAAAUGAUGAUUCCUUCUCAUGUCUUCCUUUUUCUUCCUAAAAUUAAAAAUACAUCCAGGGGUAUUUUUCUUUGUUUGUUCUAAGUAUACAAUCUAAUGUUUUCUUCUACAUGAAAGCUUAACAAUCUGAGGGGAUGUGUCUAUCUCUCUUCCCAAAACUCAGUGAACAAACACCAAAAUGUUAAACAGCCCUAAGAGGCCGAUUAUUAAUUACACAGCCAAAACAUUUACCUGAGCCAAUUUAUGAUAUUUUACAAUGAAAUAUUUACAGAUUUAUGUUUGUGAAACUCCGUUCAUCUAGAAAAACCACAUUCUUUCAAAAUAAUACAUCUGUUAUUUACAAAGUUGUCUUGAAUGUUGUCAUGCAGUUGAAAUACAAAACUAUCAUUCAAAGAGGGAAAACAAAAUUUCUUAUAUAACAUUUCCUAUGUUUAAAGUACAUAAUGCCCAAUAUCAAGCAGUACAACUACAAAAUUAUGACUUAGAUAUCAAUUUCACUACGACAUUGGAAAGAAAAUAAUGAAACCAUGAUAUUUUACAAUGAAUUAUUUACAAAAUUAUACUUUGUGAGACUCUAUACAUCUAGAAAAACUAGAUGUUAAAAAUUAAAAAUUUACAUCCUAUUAUUUACAAAGUUGUCUUGAAUAUUGUCAUGCAACCAAGGGAACACAUACAGAACCGUGUAUAGUUCCAAGAGGUAGUAGAAAAUCUCCUUGAUAAAGUCAUUUAUAUGCUGAAUGUUAAAAACAAAAGAAAAAAAAUAUAUGGGGAGGUAUGAAUAGGCAGAGCACGGAGGACUUUCGGGGCAGUGAUGGAUCCAAGUUAUCACAGAUUUGUCCAAACCCAUAGAAUGUACAACACCAACAGUAAACCAUAACAUAAACUAUGAGUUUUGAGUGAUUGCAAUGUAUCAAUGUAGGUUCACCAAUUGUAACAAAUGUAUUACUCUGUUGGAGAAUGCUGAUAAAGGGGAUGAUUACAGAUGUGUUGGGGUAAAAGGUCUAAGGGAAAUCUCUGUACCUUCCCUUCAAUUUUGCUGUGAACCUAAAACUGUUCUAAAAAAAUUAAGCAACAUUAAAGAAAUAAGUGAGGAAGUUCACUACAUCCAGAAAUACCACAUAAAUUUACAUUGUCUAAGUUUAAUAUACAAUUCAUAUUUGAUACAAUAGAAACUAUUCUUCUAUAUGAGAAUGAGGUAAAUGCAAAAUCCUGUCAAUUCCUUCUAACGACCAAAUUAAUAUACGAUUAAUUUUGUAUAACCCCAAGAGUCUGUUUAUCAACAAUCAGUUUCAUUGCCACGUUAAUUUUAGAAGACAAGAGAACAAAUUUACAAUGAAUAUUUACAAAAUUAUACUUUGUGAGACUCUCAAUACAUGUAGAAAUACUAGAUAUUUAAAAUUAACUAUCUUACUUGCCAUUAUUUACAAAAUUAUCUUGGUUAUUGCCAUGUAACAGAUAAACAAAGAAGUACAUAACUCAGAGAUUUUAUAAAAUGUUCUUUAGAAAACUGAAUUGCAUAAUUAACUUCAGUACACCUGGAAAAUAAGAUAUACCUACAUGUUCCUGAAACUGACAGAUAUUUUUAUAUAAAAUGGAAACAAUUUAAUGUUUAUAAUCUAAUUUUUCUUUUAAAUGAAAAUAUGAUGUAAAAGAACUUUUAAAUGUCACGAUCUUCUCCCUAACAUGAUAAUAUAUACAUAAGGAACAAGAAUAUAGCUCAGAGAGUUUUAACUCAAUUAUGGUAAUUUGUCUUUAAGGAUCCCAGCAGUCCAAUGAAGACUCCAUAAGGGUGAACUAAAAAUAUCAUCAAAAGAAACUGGUUCUAACCUCUAUCAUUCCGUUUAUCAACAGUUCUAUACAUUCACACUCAAAACGUUAUAAAGCAACUAUUAUAAACUCAGUUAUUUAAAAAAAAAAAGACCAAGCCAUAUAGUUUCUAAAAACAUUUGCAAAAGUUAAGCGUUUCAACCAUACAGUUUAAAACCGCAUGACUGAAACAUACGAUGUCCACAAUCUCUAUAAAGCAAAAAGAAUAAAGCUAAAGCAUCAUAUACUACAGACAUGAGAUCAGAAAACAUCCAACACCCUUGUCCAUAUCCGUCACCACAAACCACUGAACAUGCAAAAAAAGCUAAUUACUAUACUGAUAAAAAAGUUCCUGAUAUUUAAAAGUAUAUUCUAUCAGCAAUGUCUACAUUUCUAGAAAGAAUAGGUGUUUUAAAGAUAACUAUAGUUCAACAUGAAUAUAUUUAGAGUGUGUGUGUGUGUUCAUGUGUGUGUGCAUGUGCCUGCAUAUGAAGAGGAUGUUUCUACAUGCCUAGGAAGUUAAGAUGUUAUACAAGAAGCUUGUCUAUCAUAUAUACAGCAGUCAAAUGCUUCCCUGCUCUGUCCCAACAUUUAUCAAUCAAAAAAUUAGAUAAGAAAAAUCAUACAAGUUACAUAUUUAAAAAUAUGAAUGGCAAUGACAUAGACUAACAAAAAAGAUCUAAUUAAAAAACUCAAAACACAAAAAUAAACAAAAACCCUUAAAAUCAAGCCAAACUCAUGAAUAUGCUCAUUCUACUGCACCUAUGUUCAAACAGUAAUUCUACCUUUAACAUUUCAAUAAAAACAUAUUUUCAAAAUUGACAGAAGUUACAUAUUCAAAAAUGUUUUAUAAAAUGACAUUUAUCUUCGAUACAUGAAUCAAAGUAAAAAUAUAAUCCCCAUCAACCAAAUACAUCCCAAAUGGACUCAGUAUAGGAAUUCAAUUUACCAAAAUAAAGUGUUUUCACCUUUGUCUAUAUCGGUUUGAUCUUCAAAAAUGUAUGCCUAUUAGCAAAUCCUAUGCAGAUGUUAUAAAACAAAGACUAACAUUUGUCUACCAUAUAUCUAGCAGCCUCACAGUAUCCUCCAGGUACUAAAUAAAGUUCAAAAACUAAAACUUCCUAUAUCAUCUACCCUCAAACAACCCAAAGAACAUAGACUAAAGCCCGAAUGACAAUUAUUUGGCCAAAAAAUGAUGUUUCUAUUUUCUGAAUUUUAAGAAACACUUGUUUCAUACACAUAUAUGUACAUAUGUGCAUGCAUGUGUAUAUAUAUACACACAUACACACACCCCCAUAUGUAUAAGUAAGCAAUCCCUAUAAAUCAAGAACUGAAAGUUUAAAGCAAAACUAUUACAUAUUCUAACUUUUUACACACAACUAUCUAACAAAAACCCCUUCAGCUGCCCAAUUAUUUACUCAUAGAGACAAUGUGACAACCAUUUGGGUAAGUUUUCAUUCUACAAUUAAUAUACUUAUGAAACAUGCAGAUAUAGUAUUCUUAUCCUUUAAAAAAUAACUAUGUCCAUUAUAUACACAUAAUACAUAAACAUUCUUUUGAUCAGCUCAUGAUUUAAUGAACUCAGAUUUGAUACGCCAUUGCUAACAUUUCCCAUAAAAUCUUAUAAAUUGCUUAAUCAACUAAGUACUUUAAAAUAACAAUUCACUAUUAUUAAAAGUUAAAUUUCACCGGCAACUGAAAACUUUUGUAACCUAUGCUAUUUUACCACAAGUAGAGGUUUCUCUAUGUUAUACAAAGGACUGUGUUAUUUGUAUGCAAACGUUUCUAAAACCAAUAAGCAAAGGCAGACCACCAGUUACAAGGACAUUUCCACCAUGAUGAAUCUUGUCAUAAAACAAUGACAUGUUAGAUGAGAUACUACACAUUAUAUUUACCACAACCUAAAAAUAGAACCUACUGAUUCAAUGAACACAGAGGUUAGAUCUAACCAUCUCUUUUGGCAAACAAAAAUGGUUCUACCCUUAUAAGUUCAAAUGAAUUUACAAUGAUGUCUAUACAUGUAGAAAACUAGAUGUUAAACAAAAAUAUCUAACAUUAAUAACAGUUUAUAACAAAAUGUAUAACAAUAUCUACCAGAAAUGAAUUAAUGUUCAGAGGCAAUUUAAACAAUUGCAGUGGUGGAAGGGGAAAAGUCUACCUCUCUUUAACAUUAGAAUAUUUUACAAAACAUAUGUAGAUUACCAACAUCUGAGCAUGGAGUAACGCCUGGAGGCUGUUCAAGAACUCUCCUUGUAUAUAUGCAUGCAUAUAUACAUACACAGCCCUCCAAAACGUCUUAUUCUCUAUCUCCUGAAUUCAGCUCUUUUACAAAGCAGUCUAGAAACACCUCUCAGCAAGCAACAAAAUUAUAUUUUAACAACUGAAAUGACCAAAAUGUCAGCCACUUCUAUGCUUGAUAAGAUGAUAUAACAGUACUUUUUUCAUGUGUAUACAGAGCAAUAAAAAGCCCACUCAACCCUGAACAGGCAAAGUGUUCACUGAGGAUGGCCUCUUGUGCAACAAUCUCAUUUUGAGAAUAAAAUCUAAUGCCAUACAAAUUCUAACAUAUAAAGACCAUUUACAGAAUAACAUCUACAUCCACAUAAAGCAGCCUUAACAAAAUUUCUUACAGACAGUUGUAUGCAGAACAAUCCUACUCCCCGCAGAAAACCCACAGCAAUAAUCCGAUCAAAUGAUUAUAAAUACACAUCAUUCAGAGGUAUUCUAAUUAUUCUAUUUCUAUAAUCAUCUAUUAAAAUAUUUCUAUGUAUUUUAGCAAACUCUUUGUUAGCAAUCACAAUACUCUAAGAAAUGUCACAAAGCACUUAUAUUCAGUUAUUUCAUACAAAGCAUUCUCAAAAUGCACAUGAAUAACUAGUGCCUUAACUUUUUUCCUGAUUAACGUAUUAGACACUCACCAUGCCCAUUUCUUUUCUCCUAUCCAUAAGCGCUCAAACAAUGAAUAGAGAAUUAUGUAUAGCUUUACAAAAUGUCCACAGAAUUCCUUCCAAAAAUCUUUUUGAGAUACGAUUUUACCAAACACAUUUUUAGAAACUUCCCUGGGAAACCAGCUCUAUUAUCACAGCAACGAUUUAAAAAGUAUCUAAAAAUAGUAGAUUCAUGUUUAUAAAUGUAAGUCUCUAUGCUUCAGUAUUAGGGUCCAAGAAAAACUAAGCUAAAAGAGAAUACAAUAAAACUAUCCCAUGUUGAAAUUUUCAUUCUCUUCAUUUCCUAAUAUGCAAUAUACAGUUCAUAUAUAUUUAUCAUUCACUUAGUAUGUUAUAUUUCCAUUUCAAUAAUAUUACCCAAACACAAUUUUCCGAAGUAUUUCAAUAAAUUCUUAUGCUAUAUAUGUCCAGUAGUUAAUAGGAUCAGAUUCCAAGCUGUUUUAAAAUGCUAGCUCCAGCAGGGGUGUCGGGGGGGAGAGGCCCACACUAAGAUCUGUUUAUCACAUACACAUACAAAUGUCACAUAUGCAAGGCUUUUACUGGUAAAUCUUUUGAAGGCAAGUUGAUACUCCAUAGCAAGCAAGACACAGUUUUUCCCCCCUCAAAUCCAAAUGUAAACAUUUGAAAGGCAAGAUGAAGUUCAGAAGAGUAUAAAUCUAUUUUUAUUUUGUCUGUGAUGAUGUAGCUGGUGAAGUUUCUAGCUGAAUUCAAGAUGUGCUGUUCUUCCCUUUCUAUCCACAUAUUCCUGCAAGGUUGGCUUGUGUGUACUUGACAUUGUCCAGACUAGCCCAAUACUACUCUCAUUUUAUCCACUUGAAAUAAUUUUCAAUUCAGUAAAUACCCCCUCACACACUUCCAUUUUUGGGAGGAAUGCGGAAUGAGAUGCUGUCCUGAUGCUGUUGGACCAGGCAAAUGAGCAGAGUCGAGGAUCAAGAGAGUGGCUCUACACAGGUGCCCUGACCAAAGACCCCUUAAAUCAGCAUGAGGUUUAAACUUCGAUAGCAGUCUGUAAGUAAAAUUGCUCAGAAUACUCCAGAAGAAUUUGAAAACUACAGUUUUAUGAAUGCAGGAGCAGUCACUCAGGCUAGUCUCUCCUGCUUACUUACCUAUGUUAAUGGAAAAAAGAUUUGCAAAUCUACUCUAAAUCUUCCUGGGUUGCAGUCACGUUGCUUCCUGCUGUACAAACUUCUAAAGAUUCUUAUGCAGAGGCUAAGUGUGAAAGAAUGUCUCAAAAUUUAAGAAUCCAAAAGUUCAGUGACUAAAAGUGGAAAAUUUCCAGUUUUGACAGUGGCAAAAGAGGCUGUAAAUAUUAUCAGUUUAUAUAAUCCUUGUCCUCUGAUUAUUGCUUAUUUCUAAUACUCCUGAAACAUGUCAACUGCAGACUGAUGAAGAAACAUGAUGUGGUGGUCAUCUUUCCAAAAGACUGCUUUGGCAGAUAGAUGAAUUAGAGAAUCUGAGGCUAGAAGUAAAGCGACCAGUUAGAAGUUUUAAUACAGUUAAAAGACAACAAAACUCUCAAACAGAAAGGUAGCUCAAAUAGAGCAGCCAUCUAAAGAAGUCUAAACAGUAUCUAUUGUGCAAUAAAUUUCCUAAGUUUCUGGAUGAAAUCCUUGUCCAUCUUUCCUAAAGUCCAUUCAAGUCCAUGUAAGACAGCCACAUCCUCACCUCCUAGUUUGCAUCACCUUUUUACAUCUUUGUAAAAUUGACAGUCAAAUGUAUCAUAGAAUGAUUUUAAAAGGAUGUUUAAGUGAGUUUGAGAUAUUUCAUGUUUACUUGCUAUUAUUUUG
rnacentral:lncRNA from 1 species